rnacentral:rRNA from 1 species
GGAGGGCACGAGCGUUGUUCGGAAUUAUUGGGCGUAAAGCGCGUGUAGGCGGCUGGGUAAGUCGAAUGUGAAAGCCCGGGGCUCAACCCGGAAUUGCAUACGAAACUGCCUAGCUAGAGUCUCGGAGAGGAGGGCGGAAUUCCCGGUGUAGAGGUGAAAUUCGUAGAUAUCGGGAGGAACACCAGUGGCGAAGGCGGCCCUCUGGACGAUGACUGACGCUGAGACGCGAAAGCGUGGGGAGCAAACAGGAUUAGAUACCCUGGUAGUCCACGCCGUAAACGUUGGGUGCUAGGUGUCGCGGGUAUUGACCCCCCCUGCGGCGCCGGCGUUAACGCAUUUUAGCACCCCGCCUGGGGAGUACGGUCGCAAGACUA